UGAAAGGAUGUCUAUUCAUCAGAUUUCCAUGGAACCAUGCCAUCAGGGAGUAUCGUGAAGGCAAGUUGUCCUGGCUCCCCACCUCCGUCCUGGCCCCGCUGCUCUCUGCUUGGCUGUGUAUGCACAGCCCUGCGGGUGCCUGCCUCCAGGUGGGAACCACUCCUGGGCUCUCUGCAUAUGGCUUCAGCAUUGUUUCAACCCCCUUCUCCAUCCUACCUUGCUGUUACAGUCCCAAGAUUUGUUUCUCACUAGUGUUUUAGGUCCUGCAACUGCACUGUGUUUUUGAGAAGAGAGUCUGACAUGUAUACGCAGUACAUGCCAUUUGGCCUUUGCUUGAUACCUGUCUGCUCCUCUGCUGUUCUUUUUAAUUAAAAGGGAGAGAGGUAUGUAUGCGGGCUGGAGCAGGACUGGGGCCGUUAAGACUUGAGCCUGGUCCUGGCUCUGGCAUUCAGUUUCCCUCUGACCUCAGGCAAGUUCCCUAAACCUUGGCUUUUUUAUGGGCUUUAGUGAGUAGCCUGGCUGUUUCUUGGAAAACAUGUUAAAUAUGUUGAAAAUGCUAAAUAUUGAAAAUACUUUCUCAGCUGCAUCCUUUGGCAAAUUCCAGAUUCCUUCCUAUCCGUCUUUGGUUUUGCAAGGUCCAAGGUCAGAUAUCCUAGUUUCCCUCUGCCUAAGCCUCUUCAGUUAGCUGGCCCAGUUUUCAGGGAAAUAGGAAUAUGAGGCAUAGACAUUCAUUAAUUGUAGCUGUUAAAAUUCCCAAGCAAAUCCAAGUAGAAUGUGGUUAUGAAAGCCAAGGCCUGUUGCCAAAGAAAGAUGUGUGUGUGUGUGUGUGUGUGUGUGUGCAUGUGCACGUGCAUGUGCGUGCAUUGUGGGAUAUGUGCUUGUUAUAUAACUUCUGAUCCUUGAUCCCUGGAUGUUAUCCAGUGAGUAGCUGGUUGGAUUUGGGGCUUAACAUGGCUUGGGAGCUGUUUGGAGCCUUGGUGGGAACUAGAUGACUCUGUGUUGUCUCAAUCCUGCUGUGUAAAUAGUCUCUUUCCCUGAUCCAUCUGCCACAGCCCAGCUGCUUUUCAGCUCCAGUGAUCCUGCUUACUGAUUCUCCUAGAGACAGAGAUCUGAAUGGUUGGUGAGGAGCCCAUCCCAGGCUGGCAGGAAGGAUUCUGGGCACUCUGGGGACAUCUUUAAUGGACUGUACCGUAAGAUAUUUUCAGUGUGGGACUUC
rnacentral:lncRNA from 10 species